UUCAGUUCAGUGUCAGGAUGACCAGGUCGGGUUGGAUUCUGAAGUGGUUUAUGAUGACAAAUCCUUUCCCUUACGGAGGUGCACUCCAUUUGUGGCUGGGUCAUAUCAUGGCUGCUGGUCAAGUGCAGGAGUCAUUUGCUGUGGAUGGACAAAUAAGUGCAAAUGCAGGCUUCUCUACAACCGCAGAUGCUUUGGGGACUGACAGCCUAACAUUCACAGAUGGUUAGAAAUGCAUAAAAACUCUGAAUUAUCAAAAUGCAACAUGAAAUACUUCUAUCUUGAUGUUGUUUGUAUCAAGACUCGAUAACAAAUAGGCUGCUUUCUUGAUCUAGGGGUGUCUCCAGGAUUCAUAGCACCUGAUGGCAUGGGAGGCAACAACAAUGAACUGAUGAACAGAGAUGAACGUGAUGAAGAGAAGCGUGUGCACCCAAAGGGAAAGAAGAAAAAAGUAAGAAGAGAGGGGAGAACAGCUUCACCAUUAAAGAGGAAAAGCAUCCAGUCAG
rnacentral:lncRNA from 1 species